rnacentral:rRNA from 1 species
UACGAAGGGGGCUAGCGUUGUUCGGAAUCACUGGGCGUAAAGCGCACGUAGGCGGAUUUGUUAGUCAGGGGUGAAAUCCCGGGGCUCAACCUCGGAACUGCCUUUGAUACUGCAAGUCUCGAGUCCGAGAGAGGUGAGUGGAAUUCCUAGUGUAGAGGUGAAAUUCGUAGAUAUUAGGAAGAACACCAGUGGCGAAGGCGGCUCACUGGCUCGGUACUGACGCUGAGGUGCGAAAGCGUGGGGAGUAAACAGG